rnacentral:tRNA from 1 species
GGGGACGUGGCGAAAUUGGUAGACGCACUGGAUUUAGGUUCCAGCACCGCAAGGUGUGAGAGUUCGAGUCUCUCCGUCCCCA